rnacentral:tRNA from 2 species
GGCCUUGUAGCAUAAUGGAUAAUGCAGACCCGUCCUAAGGGUAAGAUUGUGGGUUCGACUCCCGCCGAGGCCG